CGGGGAAUACAAUUCUCCUUCUCUUCAGCUUUGCAGCCUGUGUCUUUGUAACUGUCAUGAAAAGUCCCACCUGACUGACUUCUCCGUGCUGGGCGGGAGCACCUGCCACUGGUGAGGCCCUCUGGUACAGAACUCUGGCAUGCAUGAAGUCUGACUCCCUGUAAGAACCUGUAAUGAAUUUUACAGUGCAGAACUCAAUAUGAAUAAAUGAAUGAAUGAAUAAACAAAUGAGUGGCAUGGCUCAUUGUCCUGGCUUUGUUACUAACUCAUUGCGUGACCUCCUUUUCAAUAAUUUUAGAAUCAUUGUCCUUUCAGGCAAGACAUGAUCGUUAUGGCAGGCAGGUACACAUCACAUGGACACUCCACUCGAAUCACACUACCUUCUCUGCAUAGUGCAGAAGGGUGCAGGUGACACUGGGAAUAAUGAGGAAUCUGAUAAAGAGGGAUUGUGUUACCCUAGAAGGCUGUAAAUUACUGGAUUGGGUUGGACAUACUAUUCAAUGAUCAGAACUUACCUUUGAUGGUUCUACUGAAUUUGUGGCAGCUGAGGGGAACUUUUUGGCUACACAAAUGACAUGGAACCAGCCCUGCCUGCUUUUAAGAUUAUUGUGUAUGCCUCUUUUAUAGCUUUAGACGGGAGGCAGUGUAUUGUUUAAUAGAACACUGCUAGCCAGAACAUAGGGAAAAUCAAAUGCUGCACCCGGGAAUAAGUC
rnacentral:lncRNA from 10 species